AUCCCAGAUAAGCUGGAUUGAGUGCUUAUCUGAUUCAUGGGAGGCGAAGAGAAAACUCUGCGGAAGUUUCGCUGAUAACGCCUUCUAUUGUUACCAGAAGGCGUUUACUAGUAGCUUUUCCGCACAUUC